UUGAAAUUUUCAUCACAAGUGGACAGCUUAUGCGCGUCAGAGAGUGUCCGCGUAAUUACUAGCGACGCGGAGUAAAGCUAAUUCUACCCGGGAGUUAUAUUUAGCAGAAGGAGUUAAAACGAUUCAUCGGCAGAGGCUCGAAGCAUGAAAGCGCGCUCAUCAAAGCCCAAGUAUUUGCGGAGCUCGGCGCCUUAUAGCCAUUCAAGGAAAUGCUCUCGUUCAGCAGGCAAACGGCGUCAAAAGAACCAACCAUCGAUGGAUUCGUGUUUGAAAUCGAUCUGGCUCGUCGAUCGUUGAUCGCCGCGCUAAUUUUGGCAGAAAGCUUGAACCAUGGUGAAUAAUAUUUAACCGUAACGGGGGUGCGUGACUGUUUAUGUUGCAUGUCGCGCUUGUUAUCUAUAUUUCCGUUUACACGAGAGAUUCGAAUCGAAAUACGAGAGUCGUCCAGAAAGUAAUACUCGUUUAGAAAUAACAACGGUACAAAUGCAUCGGAAAAAAUUGUCUUCGUUCGUAAUUUUAGUAUACGUACUAAGUUAAUUUUCAAUGCAACCAUCAAUCACCAUAACGUUAUACAAGUUUUUGUACAUCUUCGUCAUACCCUUCCGUCGCUAGUUCAUAUAACCAUCGUCUUAUGCAAUCCUUUAAAUCAUCGUUUCUUGUGAAGCAUCAUCGACCAAACAACUCUUUAAGUUU